UGACCCGUCUGAAGCACGGACCAAGGAGUCUAACAUGUGCGCGAGUCAUUGGGAAUGAAAACCCAAAGGCGUAAUGAAAGUGAAGAUUCGAUUGCGAAUUUGAGGAGAGAUACCGUAGCGGUGUGGUGGCUUCCGAAAGGUCGUUGCCACAGCUUGGUCGCAUCUCCGGGACGUCUAUACCUCUGAAGGUGGGGCGUACCUAGAGCGUACACGUUGGGACCCGAAAGAUGGUGAACUAUGCCUGGUCAGAACGAAGUCAGGGGAAACCCUGAUGGAGGUUCGUAGCGAUUCUGACGUGCAAAUCGAUCGUCGGAACUGGGUAUAGGGGCGAAAGACUAAUCGAACCAUCUAGUAGCUGGUUCCCUCCGAAGUUUCCCUCAGGAUAGCUGGCGCUUUUUGUAACCAGUCUCAUCCGGUAAAGCGAAUGAUUAGAGGCCUUGGGGCCGAAACGACCUCAACCUAUUCUCAAACUUUAAAUGGGUGAGAAGUCAGGCUUGCUUAAUCGAAGCUCUGACAAUGGAUGGUGAGUGCCAAGUGGGCCACUCUUGGUAAGCAGAACUGGCGCUGUGGGAGCGUAAGCCGACCCGGCCUG
rnacentral:rRNA from 1 species